UACGAGAGGCCCGAGCGUUAAUCGGAAUCACUGGGCUUAAAGGGUGCGCAGGCUGGUCCGUGUGUGUGUCGUGAAAUCCCCCGGCUCAACCGGGGAAUUGCGGCGCAAACUGCGGACCUUGAGGCAGGUAGGGGUCGUUGGAACGAUAGGUGGAGCGGUGAAAUGCGUUGAGAUCGAUCGGAACGCCGAAGGUGAAGACAAGCGACUGGGCCUGACCUGACGCUCAUGCAAGAAAGCGUGGGGAGCAAACAGG
rnacentral:rRNA from 1 species